GAUGAACGCUGACAGAAUGCUUCACACAUGCAAGUCAACUUGAACUUCGGUUUGGGUGGCGGACGGGUGAGUAACGAGUAGAGAUCUUGCCUCACAGAUAGGGACAACAUUUGGUAGAAAAAAUCUUAUACAUGAUAUUAUCAUUUUAGCGCAUCAUAGGAUUAUGAGAGAUAUAUGCGCUGUGAGAGAGCUCUGCGUCCCAUUAGCUAGUUGGAGAGGUAACGGCUCACCAAGGCGAUGAUGGCUAGCCGGCAUGAGAGUGUGAUCGGCCACAAGGGGACUGAGACACGGCCCUUACUCCUACGGGAGGCAGCAGUGGGGAAUAUUGGACAAUGGACCUAGAGUAUGAUCCAGCAAUUCUGUGCGCACGAUGAAGUUUUUCGGAAUGUAAAGCGCUUUCAGUGGGGAAGAAAAAAAUGACGGUACCAACAGAAGAAGUGACGGCUAAAUAUGUGCCAGCAGCCGCGGUAAUACGUAUGUCACAAGCGUUAUCCGGAUUUAUUGGGCGUAAAGCGCGUCUAGGUGGUUAUAUAAGUCUGAUGUGAAAAUGCAGGGCUCAACUCUGUAUUGCGUUGGAAACUGUGUAACUAGAGUACUGGAGAGGUAAGCGGAACUACAAGUGUAGAGGUGAAAUUCGUAGAUAUUUGUAGGAAUGCCGAUGGGGAAGCCAGCUUACUGGACAGAUACUGACGCUGAAGCGCGAAAGCGUGGGUAGCAAACAGG
rnacentral:rRNA from 1 species